GCGAAUGGCUCAUUAAAUCAGUUAUCGUCUAUUUGAUAGUACCUUACUACUUGGAUAACCGUGGUAAUUCUAGAGCUAAUACAUGCUGAAAACCCCGACUUCGGAAGGGAUGUAUUUAUUAGAUUAAAAACCAAUGCCCUUCUGGGCUCCCUGGUGAUUCAUGAUAACUUCUCGAAUCGCACGGCCUUGCGCCGGCGAUGGUUCAUUCAAAUUUCUGCCCUAUCAACUUUCGACGGCUGGGUCUUGGCCAGCCAUGGUGACAACGGGUAACGGAGGGUUAGGGCUCGACCCCGGAGAAGGAGCCUGAGAAACGGCUACUACAUCCAAGGAAGGCAGCAGGCGCGCAAAUUACCCAAUCCCGACACGGGGAGGUAGUGACAAUAAAUACUGAUACAGGGCUCUUUUGGGUCUUGUAAUUGGAAUGAGUACAAUUUAAUUCCCUUAACGAGGAACAAUUGGAGGGCAAGUCUGGUGCCAGCAGCCGCGGUAAUUCCAGCUCCAAUAGCGUAUAUUAAAGUUGUUGCAGUUAAAAAGCUCGUAGUUGAACCUUGGGCCUGGCUGGCCGGUCCGCCUCACCGCGUGCACUGGUCCGGCCGGGCCUUUCCCUCUGGGGAGCCGCAUGCCCUUCACUGGGCGUGCCGGGGAACCAGGACGUUUACUUUGAAAAAAUUAGAGUGUUCAAAGCAGGCUUAUGCUCGGAUACAUUAGCAUGGAAUAAUAGAAUAGGACGUGCGGUUCUAUUUUGUUGGUUUCUAGGACCGCCGUAAUGAUUAAUAGGGACAGUCGGGGGCAUCAGUAUUCAGUUGUCAGAGGUGAAAUUCUUGGAUUUACUGAAGACUAACUACUGCGAAAGCAUUUGCCAAGGAUGUUUUUCAUUAAUCAGGAACGAAAGUUAGGGGAUCGAAGACGAUCAGAUACCGUCGUAGUCUUAACCAUAAACUAUGCCGACUAGGGAUCGGACGGUGUUAUUUUUUGACCCGUUCGGCACCUUACACGCAAAGUACCAGUUUCCUG
rnacentral:rRNA from 1 species